rnacentral:lncRNA from 1 species
UUCACUUUCAUUUAUUGUCCCUUACUGAGAAUAAACUAUUCUGUGUCCCUCCUCCCCGGUUUUAAAGACAUGGUUAUAAAUUUAUAAUUCUUUCUAGAACAGAAGACACUAUUUGCAGCAAUGGAUCGAUUUUAGUUUUCUUCCCCAAUUCAUUCUUGACUAUUAUUUUUGUAAAAUAAAAGAAUGAAUCACUGGGUACAAAAUAUUAAAAGGGCAUAAAAAGCACAAAAUCAAGCAAGCAGAGACAAAGGGAUACAAAGUGUGCCCAUAAUUUUUAUAUGGGAGUGAGCAUGAGGUCACUUCCGAACUGCUAUGCAAUGUCCUGAGAGCUCAGCCUCAAAGUCUUUUCCUCUCCAGCAGAAGAAAAACAAAGCUACAGAGAUCAGUCCUGUCCAUGGAUCACAACAGACGAUGACUCUCUCAAGAGGUUCUUCUUCAAACAGUCCUACAAUCCACAGCAGCCACCUCCACCAACCUCCAAACCCAUCAAAGACAACGGAGAGCUAUGGACACGUUCUUAGAGACAAGAAAACUCAAGCAUAG